GCCUGGGUGGCUCUGUCAGUUAGGCGUCCGACUUCAGCUCAGGUCAUGAUCUCACGGUUUGCGGGUUCGAGCCCCGCCUCGGGCU
rnacentral:tRNA from 1 species